rnacentral:rRNA from 1 species
CGUAACAAGGUAACCGUAGGUGAACCUGCGGUUGGAUCAUUACAAAAUGAUGGGUCUUGAAAGCGUGUAAGUCCAUCCAGUAAAUUGUGAUGUGGUGAAAACUUUCAAGACUUAAUUUUAACCCUUUGCGCACAAAAAUGUUUUUUGGGUUGGCUUCAUUAGAGGCGAGCCCAGCAUAUUAUGUCUGCGAGUCACGCAAGUGUUUAGCAGGCAUAAGUAAAAACACCUUUUUUUAAUUUGACUGAAUUUUUUUAAAAUAUUAAAAAAUAACAACUUUUGACAACGGAUCUCUUGGCUCUCGCAACGAUGAAGAACGCAGCGAAAUGCGAUACGUAAUGUGAAUUGCAGAAUCCCGUGAAUCAUCAAAUCUUUGAACGCACAUUGCACUCUAUUUCGGUAGAGUAUGCCUGUUUGAGAAUCUAUAGUAAUUUAUUCUGUAUUUUGGCUUUUUAAUAAAAACCUUUUUGCAGAGAUAUGAGUCUGACUCCUUGAGUCUUUCUUGAAAUCUAUAACUGAACUGCGCUAAGAGUGUUUGACUUUUUGCAAAGCAUCAGAAAAGUAUUUGAAUGGGAUUUAUCUCUUAUAAUGCUUAUUAAGAUGCAGUAAAAAUUAGCUCGACUGUGCUUUGCAGUCCAUAAACUUGAAGCCGUAAAAAAGCUUGAACCAUGGUCUCAAAUCAGGUAGGAAUACCCGCUGAACUUAAGCAUAUCAAUAAGCGGAGGAAAAGAAACUAACAAGGAUUCCCCUAGUAACGGCGAGUGAAGCGGGAACAGCUCAAAUUUGAAAUCUCACUUUGGUGCGAAUUGUAGUUUAGAGAAACGUUUUCGGCCUUGACAUUGGGUACAAGUCCAUUGGAACAUGGCAUCACAGAGGGUGAAAAUCCCGUCUAUGAUCCAGUGUUCAAGGUCAUAUGAUACGUUUUCCAAGAGUCGGUUUGUUUGGGAAUGCAGACCAAAGUGGGUGGUAGAUACCAUCUAAAGCUAAAUAUUGGCGAGAGACCGAUAGCGAACAAGUACCGUGAGGGAAAGAUGAAAAGAACUUUGAAAAGAGAGUUAAACAGUACGUGAAAUUGUCAAAAGGGAAACGCUUGAAACCAGUAUUGCCUGCUAGAUUUAGCUAUCAUUUAUGGUAGUGUCCUUUCUAGUUGGCAAGUCAACAUCAGUUUGGCUUGGUGUAAAAAGCUUGAGAAAGGUGGCCUUCGGGUGUUAUAGUCUCAAGUCAUGCAUCGAGCUGGACUGAGGUCUGCAGCUUUUGCUUAGGAUGUUGACGAAAUGGUUUUAAUCGACC